rnacentral:rRNA from 1 species
CCCGUAGUUAGCCGGGGCUUCUUAGUCAGGUACCGUCAUUUUCUUCCCUGCUGAUAGAGCUUUACAUCACGAAUGACUUCUUCACUCACGCGGCGUCGCUGCAUCAGGGUUCCCCCCAUUGUGCAAUAUUCCCCACUGCUGCCUCCCGUAGGAGUUUGGGCCGUGUCUCAGUCCCAAUGUGGCCGUCCGCCCUCUCAGGCCGGCUACCGAUCGUCGCUUUGGUGGGCCUCUACCCCGCCAACUGGCUAAUCGGACGCGGGUCCAUCCCAUACCACCGGAGUUUUUCACACUGCUUCAUGCAAAGCUGUGCGCUUAUGCGGUAUUAGCAGCCGUUUCCGGCUGGUAUCCCCCGGUAUGGGGCAGGUUACCCACGCGUUACUCACCCGUCCGCCACUAACAUAAUUCUCACUAGGUUUCAAAUUAUGUCCGUUCGACUUGCAUGUGUUAGGCACGCCGCCAGCGUUCAUCCUGAGCAGGAUCAAACUCU